GACGAACGCUGGCGGCGUGCUUAACACAUGCAAGUGGUGCGACGAACCAGGGCUUGCCCUGGGGCAAAGCCGCGAACGGGUGAGUAACACGUGAGUAACCCUGCCCCGAUGACCGGGACAACCCGAGGAAACUCGGGCUAAUACCGGAUGUGGUACACGGACUUAAGCCCGUGUACUAAAGGAGCUUCGGCCUCCGCAUUGGGAGGGCUCGCGGCCCAUUAGCUUGUGGUGGGCAACGGCCCACCAAGGCAACGAUGGGUAGCUGGUCUGAGAGGACGAUCAGCCACACUGGGACUGAGACACGGCCCAGACUCCUACGGGAGGCAGCAGGUGGGGAAUCUUGCGCAAUGCGCGAAAGCG
rnacentral:rRNA from 1 species